GAUGAACGCUAGCGGCAGGCUUAAUACAUGCAAGUCGAGGGGUCAGCAAUGACACCGGCGGACGGGUGCGUAACGCGUAUGCAACCUACCUACAUCAGGGGGAUAGCCCUAGGAAACUGGGAUUAACACCGCAUAAUAGUAUUGAUGGCAUCAUUGAUAUUUGAAAUAUUUAUAGGAUGUAGAUGGGCAUGCGUAGGAUUAGCUAGUUGGUAAGGUAACGGCUUACCAAGGCUACGAUCUUUAGGGGCUCUGAGAGGAGUAUCCCCCACACUGGCACUGAGAUACGGGCCAGACUCCUACGGGAGGCAGCAGUAGGGAAUAUUGGGCAAUGGAGGCAACUCUGACCCAGCCAUGCCGCGUGCAGGAAGACGGCCCUCUGGGUUAUAAACUGCUUUUGAAUGGGAAGAAUGUGAUGUUUGCGAGCAUUAAUGACGGUACCAUUAGAAUAAGCCACGGCUAACUACGUGCCAGCAGCCGCAGUAACAC
rnacentral:rRNA from 1 species